CUUCCUUUCUGUCAACCUUUAAACUGAGAAAUUAGGUUUAUCCUUUCCUUCAAACUUGAACUGAAAGAUUGGCUCUUCUGCAUUUCAGGCCUUCACUUUCAGAGCAGAACUACACUAUCAGCUCUUCGGGUUUUCCGACUUGCCAACUCUCUCUGCAGACUCUGGAAUUUGAUAGCCUUCAUCAAUAUCCCCCUGCCAUAUGAUACCCUGCACCAACUGGAGACUCUGGAGAAAGUCCCCACCAGCAAGAGGAUCUCACAAGAUGCAGCUUAUCAGUCUUGGAUUGCCCAGCUUCAAGAAAUAGCUUUUAAUGCUAAUUGCUAUUGUAAAGAAAAAACUGGAGGCCCUUACAGCCAUCGGAAUGAACUUCUUCCUUCUCAGCCAGUGCACUCUACAAUUGAAACUGAAAAACUGGUUCCAGCGUUGACAGGAAGUGGGGGUUGGAUAUGCCUCACCGCACCUCUCCAGCUUUAACAUGAAUACAAACCUGAAGUCUAAGAAGAAACAUUUAUAGUCUAUUCUCUCUAAGGCCCGCUAACUUGAAGUCUUCAUUUGCAUGAUGAAACCUACGUCUCCACAAUCUCUGUCAUAACCCAGACAUUCCUUUCUAUUGACAAUAACUCUUUCAACCAAUCACCAAUCAGAAUAUGCUUAAAUUUGCUUAUGACCUGGCACAUCGUCCCCCUUCAAGUUGUCCUGCCCUUCCAACGUAAAUCUUAC
rnacentral:lncRNA from 13 species